rnacentral:rRNA from 1 species
UACGAACUGUGCAAACGUUAUUCGGAAUCACUGGGCUUACAGGGUGCGUAGGCGGCUUGUUAAGUAGGGUGUGAAAUCCCCCGGCUCAACCAGGGAAUUGCGCCCUAAACUGGCGAGCUGGAGUGAGAUAGGGGUGUGCGGAACUUCCGGUGGAGCGGUGAAAUGUGUUGAUAUCGGAAGGAACGCCGGUGGCGAAAGCGGCACACUGGAUCUCAACUGACGCUGAGGCACGAAAGCCAGGGGAGCGAACGGG